UUUGUCUGCACAUAACAAUGGUGGUUAGGGUUUUCAAUAUUGCAACUUAUGUUUAUUUUCUUUUAUUUUUUUGCCAUGUUAGUUCAAUUGAUGGGUACAGGGACUCUGAGAUUGAAGCCUCACAUAAGUCAACAAUGUCCUAAAGGAUGGUUGUGAAAGCACAACACUCGACUCAAGGAAGGGGAUGCACUAUCAUACAUGUUGGAAUACCCUGGAUUGGACCUGAGCAUAGCUUUCUGAAAGAUCGAGGUUGUGCCGACUGAU